GGGGUGUGAAUGCAUUAGCAUGUCCCAACCAAAGCAGGAGGAGAAAGGAAGAAGAUAAUCGAGGGUGCUAAAAAUAGUCAGUCUUCCCUAACUCCGCUCACGCCCAGGUCCAGACGUCUCAACUCCUCGGUGCUUUCUAGUAAGAGCAAAAAGCGAGGUGCUCAGGCUGCCCGCGGCUCAGGGACCCUCCACGGUUUGUCUUUCAGGAAAGUGGCUUAGCUGGGGAGCUUGGUCCGUCUUCUGGGCAGACAGGGACUACCUACCCUGGGCUCGACGCAUGGAGGGCACGGGCUCUUAGGGCCAUGUUGCGGAGAGAGGAAAUACUGCCUCUGACGACGGGGGGGGGCUGCAUUCCCCGUGGCUGGCCCCUGGGUUUGCAUUGGGCAUCAUUUCCCCAGCUGGAUGGAGGUAGCUGGAGAGUGGGUUCCCAGGGAGACCCUGGUGCCACUGGGAGCUUGGUGCAGAGUGGGCUCCAUCGAGGUCUUCACACGGAGCCGGAGCACAGGAGGGCUGGCCUGGGACCUUGCUCCCUGAUCCUCCUGAGAAAUGGAGGCCGGUGGGAGAGCUCGGGCCUGUCUCCCCUGGGAACCACAGCUUGAAGGGCCCCUGGAGGCCUGGCCCACCGCUCACGGGGACAUAGUGGGUCUUUUAGCCCCCAGCCCACGGCUCUGUCUGUCCUCCCACGGCUGGCUCAGGACUGGGCUGUGCAUCUCAGGUGGACACUCCAGCAGCAGGUGGUUGUCCUUGUCCUCCCUCUUUCAGCAAAAACCAGUCAUGGCUGAGAAUCCCAAGGGCCUGGCAGCCCCUGGAACUCCCCCUUCUAGGGGGAUCUGCACGGAGGUCAGAUCAACCAGUGCCUCAGCUGCCCGGCACCUGAAGCCGGGGGUGGGUAGAGGCAAGUGUGAGGGGAGACAGAGGCCCCCGCUCUGGCUGGAGGGACGGAAUACUCAGUCUGCAAUCGCCAGGGAAGGCUCAUGCCACGGGCACCUAGUGUUGCCGCUGCCACCCCGUCCUUGAACAGGCAGUAGGCUGAGACCCACGGAGGGAGUGACACGGCUAGGCCACCCAGCCAGCAACGGCCAACUCCCCGGAGCAGAGAUGGGGGCCACUCUCCACUGCACCUUUGCUAACCGGCAGCCGCGGGAGCCUGGCGUCCGCGCUCCAGAGCCCUGCCUCGCUCUGCUCUGCAGUCCUCGACCUGAACGUGACUGCUCACGGGGCCUGCAUCGCACGCACCUCCCUCCAGCCCCCACCCCCGGCAACCCCUACCCCCGAGACCCCUACCCCUGGAGACCCUACCCCCAGACCCUAACCCCAGAGACCCUACCCCCAGCAGCCACGCUUGCGUUCACUGGGCCUUAUCCUUGCUGUGAGUUGCGGAGCUCCCUGAUAGGCCCCGUGAAGACAGGGAUGCGAGGAAGGCUGGGCCAAGCCCCCAUCUGGGCCUGAAAAAAGCUGGGCAGGCCUCCCUGGGGAUCCCACCAUGGUCUCAGGACCUGUCGGGGCGGGCGGGGGCGCAGCUCAGACGUCAGUGCUGAUGCUGCGGCUCCGUGAGAAGGCCUCCCGCAUGGCCGAGAGGCGGUUGGGGUUGAGCGCCUGCAGGCCCCCAAAGCUCCCGGGCGGCAGCUCCACGUCGUCCUGGCUGAUGCUCUUGUAGGCCACACGCUCCCCGCCGUUGCGCACACCCUCGUCCUCGGGCUCCUGCAGGAAGAAGGUGGGCGGCUCGUAGUGGGAGCAGCUGCGGCAGAGGGAGCGGGCCUGCGGGGACUUCUGGCUGAAGGAGGUGGAGGCAGCUGGGUAGAGAGCCGGCCCCGGCCCGUUGGUCAGGACGAGGUUGCGGUUGGCGUGCAGUGGCGGCAGGUGCGCGUGCACUGCGAAGUCGGGCUCCUCCUCGUCCUCCUCGGACUCGUCCUUCUUGCAGCAGUAGUACUGUGGGCAGAGGGCGGGUGACCUCCGGCUCCCCACCCACCUCUCCCGACCCGCACGCAGGGAAAGGGGCACAGUACGGCGAUGAUGCACAGCAGAAUCACAGUCGCCAAGAUGCCCCCGGUGAUGACCACCGUCCCAGCUGUCAUCCGCCCCCUUCUCCAUCAACAGCCUGCAACACACGCCACUAGCUUUACUGCGUCAUCGCUUCCUCCUUGCAAAAUACAAUACACAUAACAUAAAGUUUGCCAUCGGAAACAUUUCUAAGCGUCCAGCUCAGUAGCCUUAAGUACGUCCCCACUGUUGUGCAACCAAGCUCCAGGACUCUUUCAUCUUGCAAAACUGAAAACCAAUUCUUUCUCGAUAUUUAGGUUGUUUACAUUAAAAAAUAUUUUAAGUGGAUGCUUUAAUAAGUGUUUUUGCAGCUAAGUGAUCGGAGCCAGUGGAACAGGACGUACUUCAGUUACUUUUCCAGGAUAAAUUCUUAGAAGUGGGAUUUCUAGGCCUAAGGACAUGCCCUUUGUAAACUUUUUAUUAUGGAAAAUGUUCAACAAACAGAAGUCGAGAGAAUGACCAAUGCUGUCACCAGUUGCGCGCUUGUUGGCUUUUCCAUCUGUCCAGCCGGCGCUGACGAACCGGUUCUCAGAAUGAAAGCAUCCUGACUUGCAGCAUUUGCUGAUGUUUGUGGCGUCAACAGUCUCACGAUGCCCGUUUCAAGCUACCGAGGUUUACCGACGGGCUCGAAGAAUCCAUGGGCGGUGAACAGUCAGCUCUCCCAAACCAGCAGUCACGGGCUCCAGCACACCUGCCUCAAUGUCCCCCUCAUUUUAUUUUGCAGGGCAUGGUGUUGGGGGGGGGGGUUGGCGAUCAGAGUAUUUUAAAAGAAAUCCCAGAGCAUAUUAGUUAACCCAUAAACAGUUCAGUGUAAAAUCUGACAGAUGAGGACUUUAAAAAAAAAAAUCCCCAGGCUGUGUUUAGCUUUCUCCCAUCAUCCCCGAAAUGUCUUUUUACAGUUGGUUUGUUCCAAUGAGGAUCGAGUUGCGUUUGGCACUGUUGACUCUCAAACAGCUCAGUUCCCAUUCACUCUCCUCCCCGCUCCUGGCCCAUGUUGUUUAUAGACGAAACUGGGUCAUUUAUCUUACAGAAUUUUCCAUGUACGAGAGCUGGCUGGGUUUCCUCGGGCGGCACUGAACACGUUCCACCACCCCUGUUUUGUCAUCUAAACUGGAUUCCUGUUGCAUCCCUUUCAGGGGCCCAGGCUGCUGUCCCUCUUGUCGUGAUGGUG
ensembl:lncRNA